ACGCUGGAGAUAAUGAUGGUUACAAGCACAUAUCUGAAUGCAUUUUAUGUGGAAUUACUGGUUGUCUGAAUCUCCAAUGG
ensembl:snoRNA small nucleolar RNA SNORD121A